rnacentral:rRNA from 1 species
GACGAACGCUGGCGGCGUGCUUAACACAUGCAAGUCGAACGGAAAGGCCCUGCUUUUGUGGGGUGCUCGAGUGGCGAACGGGUGAGUAACACGCGAGUAACCUGCCCUUGACUUAGGGAUAACUCCAGGAAACUGGGGCUAAUACCGGAUAGGAGCUCCUGCUGCACGGUGGGGGUUGGUAAGUUUCGGCGGUUGGGGCUGGACUCGCGGCUUAUCAGCUUGUUGGUGGGGUAGUGGCUUACCAAGGCUUUGACGGGUAGCCGGCCUGAGAGGGGGACCGGCCACAAUGGGACUAAGAGACGGCGCAGACUCGUACGGGAGGCAGCAGGGGGGAAUAUGGCACAGUGGGCGGAAGCCUGAGGCAGCAGCGCCGCGUGCGGAAUAACGGCCUUCGGGGUGUAAACCGAUUUCGCAUGUGACGAAGAGUGAGUGACGGUAAUGAGUAAAGAAGCACCGGCUAACUACGUG